GAAUUGCUCAGAAAACUUGUUGAAGUUCAGAUUCCUGGAUCACACCUGCAGAGAAUCUGAUUUAGUGACCUUGGAGUGGGAUCCAGGAAUCGGCAUUUAAGCAGAUCCCA
rnacentral:miRNA from 1 species